rnacentral:misc_RNA from 1 species
UAGCAGGAAAUCACUCGACAACUUGGGAGAGGAGAGAUAGAGCCCAAGACAUCUUAAUCUACUCUAGCCAUGGAGCACUAGCAACAACAACUAAAAUGCAGGCUCUUGACCAUCGGAGACGUCUCCCUUUGGAUUUGCUUCCAAUGUCGAAACUUGCACCCAACCACGUCAUACCCAAAAAACCAAAGAACAUGGAUUACCAAAUUUAGAAUCCCUCUCAUAAAGCUCUAGAUCUGCACAACCAAAAUAAAGAGGUCAAAAGAAAUAUCUAUUGUAAAGUAUAGAUCAACCUUGUCAUUUACUGUUGUUAAAUGAUAAUAUAUAUACACGGACUGUGGAGGUGGUAGACCUAUACCCAACCUCAUCUAG